rnacentral:tRNA from 1 species
UGGGUCGUAAGUUAAUUAGACUGAAAGUUUUCAGCACUUUAAGUAGGGGGGUGCUCCUCGUCCCAG